UCUUUCUUUAAAAAAAAAAAAAAAAAAAGAAAUGUGAAUGUAAGUGGCCAAAAUCCAAGCUUGAUGGGAAAACAAUCCAUGUUGUCUGUACUUUUAUCAGUUGGAGAUGGUACUAGUUGGACUCUUGAUUUGGAGGCCUCUGAUUUUACACACUGGACCCUUGAUCAUAUUUAACAAAAAAUUUUUCUUUUGUAAUAUCCUUGAACUAAACAGACAUUUCUGUGUCCUUUUAUUCUGUGAGAUGAGAGAAAAAUAGUUUUUAUACAGAUCCCUGGGUCAUUCUUAACUAUUUGAAAUGAGGGGAAUACACACACAUAUAUAAUAUAUACCCAUACAUAUAGAAACACAUAUAUAGACACACAGUGGUAUAUAAAUGCAUACUAUGUAUGUGUGUGUGUAUAUAUGUGUAUAUAUACACACUCACAUAUACAUAGAGAGAGGGAGAGCAGUCACUGUGGAAUGACCUAAGUUUGUAUCCUCAGUUCUACUAGGAUCUCUUGUCUUGGCGUCACUAGCAUAACCACUGCCCAAGUCUGUCUGUUUGGACACCUCAUCUGAUGCUUUUGCAUUUCUUUUCUGGUAGCUGUGGCCUGUAUUUG
rnacentral:lncRNA from 1 species